CCUCUGACUUCACUGGAAGGUGCACAACCCCCUUUUUGGGGUUUUAUUGCCAGGUAAGGGACUCUGCCCAGUCCUUCCUGACAGUCCACGUCCCUCUUUACAUGUCCUACAUCUAUGUGACAGCACCGAGGGGCUGGGCUUCCCUGGAGCACCACACCGAGAUGGAGUUCUCCUUCUUCUAAGACACCGUUCUCUGGAGGACAGGGAUCCAGACGGACAGCGUGCUCUCGGCUCGCCUGCAGAUAAUCCGCAUCUACAUCCGCGAGGACGACCGGCCGGUCAUCGAGUUCAAGACGCAGGCCAAGUUCAGAGGGCUGUUUGUCAUGGAGCACCACAGCCUGCCAGAUGUCAGGUCCUCUUUGGUAACUCCAGAGCACCUGGGAGGCAUCGAAUUUGCCCUGCAGCUGCUGUGGAGCGCUCAGACUUUUGAUUCUCCCUACCAGCUCUGGAGAGCAACCAGCUCCUACAACUGA